rnacentral:lncRNA from 1 species
GGCGCCACUGCACCGCGCGCUUGCAGCUGCGGAGGAGGAGCCACCGGUGGGCUCGGGCUCCGGCCGACUCGGCGCGGAGAACGCAUCUUGCAGCACAAGGAAUCGCGUGUUGGCUGUGAAUGAGUGGCCAAUAUUUCACAAAGCUUCAAGAUUAAGUUGGAAAGAAGAACAGCGAUUCUUCCAAAUUGAUCUGCUUCGACCAUCAUUCUUACUGGGAAUGGACAAUGGAAUGUUCUCUAGCUUUAUCAUGAUCAAAAACCUCCUUCUCUUUUGUAUUUCCAUGAACUUAUCCAGUCACUUUGG